ACACGCAUGACACACUGCAUAUCAAUAAGCGGAGGAAAAGAAACUAACAAGGAUUCCCUUAGUAACGGCGAGUGAAGCGGGAAGAGCUCAAAUUUGAAAUCUUCAAGGUUCUACCUUGACGAAUUGUAGUUUAUAGAAGUGUUUUCUGUUAGUAGAGUGGCAAAAGUUCUUUGGAAUAGGACAUCAUAGAGGGUGAGAAUCCCGUAUUUGAUCACUUUCUACUAACGUUGUGAUACACUUUCAAAGAGUCGGAUUGUUUGGGAAUGCAGUCCAAAAUGGGUGGUAAAUUUCAUCUAAAGCUAAAUAUUGGCGAGAGACCGAUAGCGAACAAGUACCGUGAGGGAAAGAUGAAAAGAACUUUGAAAAGAGAGUUAAACAGUACGUGAAAUUGUCAAAAGGGAAGCGUUUGACACCAGUGUUGUUUUUCCGAAAAUCAAUUACGAAUGUUUUGUUUUUGAGAAGUUAUGACUUCAUCGGCUUGCUUCUCUCUUUACGAAACUUUCUUAAUGCACUUUUCGGUUAACAAGUCAACAUCAAUUUCUUUUGUUGUAAAAGGGUAUGAGGAAGGUGGCUUUCUUUUCGGAGAAAGUGUUUAUAGCCUUGUGCCUCUGCAAUCGGAGAGAUUGAGGUCUGCAGCGUAGAUCCUUCGGGGUUAGAUGCAUUUGUGCUAAGUUAUAGCCUUUCAUAGACAACUUGUUGACUAUGAUCAGUCAUGUAGCUUACUCGCUUAUGCUAUUUUACCUACGCUUAGGAUGUUGA
rnacentral:rRNA from 1 species